rnacentral:tRNA from 1 species
GCAGGUUUGGUGGUAGAGUUCUUGCCUUUCAUGCAGGAGACCUGGGUUCGAUUCCCGGCCAAUGCA